UGAUUUGGGUCGAUUUAUUAACCCACAUAGCUUUGUCAAAAUGCAUAUUGGGCCUUUUGCCUUACUCCUUCCAGCAAUUCCUAAGAAGCCCAACAUUUCCAAAAGCCUAAUCCAAUACCCAACCUAUCUCACUUCUCCAAUCAAACCGACCGCCCCAGCCCAACCUUUUGACCCGAUCCAGAUUUUUUUUCUCACUAUCAAAAGAACCCAAGUAUCCCUAGAACCUUCUCAAUUGAAAGCUCAUCCAAAUUCAUAGCAGCAGCUCACGCUCUAAAUCAGCGCGUCACCAGCAGCUUGAGACGACGCGCUUCGCAGCAACGGCAAGUGCACAAUAGGUUCACGCCUUGGACGCGUGAAUCGGUUCGUCUGCGACUUCUUGUCGUCUUCCCCUCCAACUUCUCUUUCUUCCCGUCACUCUCAAGUUGUACCAUCACAGCAGGCGCAGUCCCUAAUAGCACGCGAAGUCGUCCUUGGGGAUGUGAGAUCGCCCCACGUUGCGCCCAAGGACAAUGGAGUUAAUCGAAGCCCAUUCUCCCUACCUCUAUGGGAGCGGAUUCAGAAAUUUAGGAAAAGGUUUUCAGUUUGGUUUCUCAAAGUCAGUUGCAAUAUCAAAUUGAUUGUGCGGAUUGUUUUGUUCAAUGUUGUGGUCUUUAGAUAUCUCGAAUUCGAACUUUUGUUAUGUUUUCCUUAUACAUAUUUGUUGACACAGCUUAUCUUUUGCUGAAAGAAAGUAGAAACCAAAAAUUUGCCUAUGAAAAAACGAUUUAUCGUGUUGGUUACCUUUGGUAGAUUCAAUGGUUUAUCUCAUCGAUCCUCCGGAAUAAUUUGUUGGGUUAAGUUUUUGAUUCAA